rnacentral:rRNA from 1 species
AUUGAACGCUGGCGGCAGGCCUAACACAUGCAAGUCGAGCGGAGCGGCGGACGGGUGAGUGAGACCUAGGACUCUGCCUGGUAGUGGGGGAUAACGUCCGGAACCGGGAACUAAUACCACUUACUCUCAGAUGAGCCUAGGUCGGAUUAGCUAGUUGGUGGGGUAAGGGCCUCCCAAGGCGACGAUCCGUAACUGGUCUGAGAGGAUGAUCAGUCACACUGGAACUGAGACACGGUCCAGACUCCUACGGGAGGCAGCAGUGGGGAAUAUUGGACAAUGGGCGAAAGCCUGAUCCAGCCAUGCCGCGUGUGUGAAGAAGGUCUUCGGAUUGUAAAGCACUUUAAGUUGGGAGGCGUUACCAACAGAAGAAGCACCGGCUAACUCCGUGCCAGCAGCCGCGGUAAUAC